CAGGGGAUAGCUCAGUCGGUAGAGCAUGAGACUCUCAGUCUAAUGGUUGUGGGUUUGAGCCCCAUGCUGGGAGAAAGA